UGAACGCUGGCGGCAGGCCUAACACAUGCAAGUCGAACGGUAACAGGAAGCAGCUUGCUGCUUUGCUGACGAGUGGCGGACGGGUGAGUAAUGUCUGGGAAACUGCCUGAUGGAGGGGGAUAACUACUGGAAACGGUAGCUAAUACCGCAUAACGUCGCAAGACCAAAGAGGGGGACCUUAGGGCCUCUUGCCAUCGGAUGUGCCCAGAUGGGAUUAGCUAGUAGGUGGGGUAACGGCUCACCUAGGCGACGAUCCCUAGCUGGUCUGAGAGGAUGACCAGCCACACUGGAACUGAGACACGGUCCAGACUCCUACGGGAGGCAGCAGUGGGGAAUAUUGCACAAUGGGCGCAAGCCUGAUGCAGCCAUGCCGCGUGUAUGAAGAAGGCCUUCGGGUUGUAAAGUACUUUCAGCGGGGAGGAAGGGAGUAAAGUUAAUACCUUUGCUCAUUGACGUUACCCGCAGAAGAAGCACCGGCUAACUCCGUGCCAGCAGCCGCGGUAAUACGGAGGGUGCAAGCGUUAAUCGGAAUUACUGGGCGUAAAGCGCACGCAGGCGGUUUGUUAAGUCAGAUGUGAAAUCCCCGGGCUCAACCUGGGAACUGCAUCUGAUACUGGCAAGCUUGAGUCUCGUAGAGGGGGGUAGAAUUCCAGGUGUAGCGGUGAAAUGCGUAGAGAUCUGGAGGAAUACCGGUGGCGAAGGCGGCCCCCUGGACGAAGACUGACGCUCAGGUGCGAAAGCGUGGGGAGCAAACAGGAUUAGAUACCCUGGUAGUCCACGCCGUAAACGAUGUCGACUUGGAGGUUGUGCCCUUGAGGCGUGGCUUCCGGAGCUAACGCGUUAAGUCGACCGCCUGGGGAGUACGGCCGCAAGGUUAAAACUCAAAUGAAUUGACGGGGGCCCGCACAAGCGGUGGAGCAUGUGGUUUAAUUCGAUGCAACGCGAAGAACCUUACCUGGUCUUGACAUCCACGGAAGUUUUCAGAGAUGAGAAUGUGCCUUCGGGAACCGUGAGACAGGUGCUGCAUGGCUGUCGUCAGCUCGUGUUGUGAAAUGUUGGGUUAAGUCCCGCAACGAGCGCAACCCUUAUCCUUUGUUGCCAGCGGUCCGGCCGGGAACUCAAAGGAGACUGCCAGUGAUAAACUGGAGGAAGGUGGGGAUGACGUCAAGUCAUCAUGGCCCUUACGACCAGGGCUACACACGUGCUACAAUGGCGCAUACAAAGAGAAGCGACCUCGCGAGAGCAAGCGGACCUCAUAAAGUGCGUCGUAGUCCGGAUUGGAGUCUGCAACUCGACUCCAUGAAGUCGGAAUCGCUAGUAAUCGUGGAUCAGAAUGCCACGGUGAAUACGUUCCCGGGCCUUGUACACACCGCCCGUCACACCAUGGGAGUGGGUUGCAAAAGAAGUAGGUAGCUUAACCUUCGGGAGGGCGCUUACCACUUUGUGAUUCAUGACUGGGGUGAAGUCGUAACAAGGUAACCGUAGGGGAACCUGCGGUUGGAUCACCUCCUUACCUUAAAGAAGC
rnacentral:rRNA from 1 species